CCUACGGGGUGCAGCAGUGAGGAAUAUUGGUCAAUGGACGAGAGUCUGAACCAGCCAAGUAGCGUGAAGGAUGACUGCCCUAUGGGUUGUAAACUUCUUUUAUAUGGGAAUAAAAUGUUCCACGUGUGGGAUUUUGUAUGUACCAUAUGAAUAAGGAUCGGCUAACUCCGUGCCAGCAGCCGCGGUAAUACGGAGGAUCCGAGCGUUAUCCGGAUUUAUUGGGUUUAAAGGGAGCGUCGGUGGAUUGUUAAGUCAGUUGUGAAAGUUUGCGGCUCAACCGUAAAAUUGCAGUUGAAACUGGCAGUCGUGAGUACAGUAGAGGUGGGCGGAAUUCGUGGUGUAGCGGUGAAAUGCUUAGAUAUCACGAAGAACUCCGAUUGCGAAGGCAGCUCACUGGACUGCAACUGACACUGAGGCUCGAAAGUGUGGGUAUCAAACAGGAUUAGAUACCCGAGUAGUC
rnacentral:rRNA from 1 species